UCCCCUGUAGCUCAGUGGUAGAGCAAUCGGCUGUUAACCGAUUUGUCGCUAGUUCGAUCCUAGCCGGGGGAGCCA
rnacentral:tRNA from 1 species